rnacentral:rRNA from 1 species
CAGCAGCCGCGGUAAUACGGAGGGAGCUAGCGUUGUUCGGAAUUACUGGGCGUAAAGCGCACGUAGGCGGUUAUUCAAGUCUGAGGUGAAAGCCCGGGGCUCAACCCCGGAACUGCCUUUGAAACUAGAUGACUGGAAUCUUGGAGAGGUCAGUGGAAUUCCGAGUGUAGAGGUGAAAUUCGUAGAUAUUCGGAAGAACACCAGUGGCGAAGGCGACUGACUGGACAAGUAUUGACGCUGAGGUGCGAAAGCGUGGGGAGCAAACAGGAUUAGAGACCCCUGUAGUCCCUGUCUCUUAUAC